UCCGUGCAUCGGUUUUCAAGUUUUUGUUUCUAAAAGCAAAAAAACACAAAACGAAAACGAUGCCCUAGGAAACACAGCUCCCUCCGUCGCCUUCCGCCCUCGCCUUCGCCUUCGGCGAUCGCCUACGUUGGGAUCGUCCCCUCGCCGUUCUCCUCGGUGAUGGCUGAUUUUACUGGAAGCGAUUUUCAAGGGGAGGAGAAUGAUACUGAUAUAGUUGAUGAGGGUGGUUUCAAUGUUAGUGUGUGGCCAGAUGAGAUCGAAGAAAGGUUCAUCUACAUCAUGGAGGCAGAAGUUAACAAAGGCAAUAGAACAUCAACAACUUUUUCAAAGCCUGCAUGGCGUGCCAUUGAGGAAACUCUCAACACACAAACAAAAAGGAACUACACUUACACACAACUCAGAAAUAAGUUCAACCAACUAAGAACCCGACAAAAGGACUUUGCUAACCUAAUGAAGGAGACAGGGGUUCGCUGGAACCCAGUGACAGACUCUGUUUCUGCGACAGAUGAGGUGUGGGAACGCCUGUAUAAGGUGUACAAGUCUGCAAAGAGAUUCCGUAAGAAGGGAUGCCCUUUGUUUAACAAAUUGUGUGUGAUUUAUGGAGACACAACGGCAUCCGAUUUCUGUCAACAUAUUUCGAACAAUAAUCCCCUGGACACUGAUGAUAGAGAGGAGAUUGAUGGGAUGAGCUUAGAGGCAUCAUUUAAUGAGCAAUCUGGUGGUACAGGUGUGCUGUCUGCAGUUCCCAUACGAAGCCAAUCUUUCAACCCAUCAAGCUCUCGUCGGGGAAAAAGAAAUAGUUUUUCCACUCUCCAGACUAGUAGUUUGACUUCUCCAGGUGAAAAUUCAAAGAAAAAGUCUGAUACAACUGAGAGAAAAAUGACAGUUACUCCCUCACCAUCAAAGUCAACUUCUGAGACUGGAUCCACUAUCAAGAAACUUAUUGUAGAAAGCAUGCAAGCACUGAAUGCCCUAGAGGGCAUAGAUGGAGUAGCAUACUCCAAGGCAGUUGAGCGGUUUCAUGAAGAUUAUAUGUGGAUGGAGCUAUUUCUGCAGAUGACAGAGGAUAGGAAAAAAGAUUGGGUGUUAAAUAUAAAAUAAUGGUGGAUGUGCCAAUUUUACUGGUUCACAUGGAAUCCAGUGUUAAAAGAAGCUACCAAAUAAAAUCAAUGUGUAUGACUUUUCUAUUCUCACGAAGAGAUGGGACCUCUUAAGCCCCUCAUUUAUCUCCUUCAGUUAAAAGCAGCUACCGGCGGCUUAGUGAGUUUGCUCCUAGUUGAAGUAAUUCUAAAGGAGUGUGCAAUAUUCUUCCAGGCAAGAUAACAAGCUGUUCACUUUUUUAAAUUUCAUGGACAAUCAUCACUGAGCAAUUAAAAUUUGUGCUACCAGUGUCUGUGGAGUGUCUUAUCAAUGCAAUAUUUUUCUUUUCUUGUUCUUUUAGAUGGAAAUACAAGACUACCUAUAUAAGCUUAAUGCAAUCUCCUGUAUAUGCUAAUGUGUUCAUGAUCAAAAUUUUCUUGUGUUGACCUUACAGAUUGUGCUACUUGGUUUAGUUGAUACAGAUUCCUGGUUUUACAGAAAUACCUUAAUGCUUCUAGAACCUACCAUUUUUGGGGUGAUUAUUAUUAGCCUAUAUGCUAUUACUUGCCUUACAAGUGGAACUCGUUUCUUACUUUUGUGCUACAUUUCAGGUUUGGACAUCUGCAGUUGUUGUAAUUGCUCUGAUCUGAGGCAGGAUGCGAUGAUGGAUGAACCAUUUAGAAGUUUAGAGCUGGUUUGUGUGGCUACUUAAAUCACAUUCCCUAGUGCUGCCACCCCUGAUUUUGCUGCAGAGCCUGCACUCAACUUGCAGCAGAUAUAGAGGAUGAGACCACAAACACGGAUUCUCCUAUGGAAUUGUUGAGUUUGUGUCUUUAGUUUGUUGCAUUAGUAAUAUCUUCUUUGUUGCUCAUUAAAUAAUUCUCUUUCGACCUUUUAUUUUUUUUUUGCUUUUGAUGGAUGUGUAGAUUUCAUUUUGACAGUUUUGCAGGGUUCGUUUAUUGUUGGUUUGCAGAUUUAUUUAAUUUGUAGCAAGUGCCAUACGAAAAAAUAUUCACUUGUAUACUACCAAGUAGAAUUGCAAUUCUUGUUGCCUACAACUGAAAUUUGCAGAACUUGCUGUUUGAAUAGUUGUUGUCUACUGAAAUCACUAUACCUGAAAGCAUCUGAACAUUUAUUUGCUCUAUCAUGAAAACAAGAAACAAAACAAAAAGACCAAGUGAGCUAAUUUUAAUUGAGACCUACUGCUGAGAUAAUUCGAUUUUGAUUUUAUCAGGUUUUAGUACUUCAGAUCCCCUCAAGUUGAUAAGAAGCUCUGUUAUAUUUUGAUGUAUUAAUUUUGUAGGUUAUAUGGAACUCACAACUUUGCCUGAUGUUAUAUUGGUCUCAUGCAGGUUUUUGGCACUUGGUUUCAUCCAUGUGAAGUAAACGGGCCCUUGUAUAUUAUCAUGCUUUGCAAUCUUGAAUUUAGUUAUGGGUUAUUUGCUCUUAAAAUGAAUCAGAGCUUGUCUAACAGUGUCUACCCAACUUUAAUCUAAACUGUAAAGGAUGAUGAUAUAAAUAAUAACUUGAACUGCUUUUUUUUUUUAUAUAAUAUUUGAGCUUAUAGCCUCUAGUAUAACUAAUCAUGAUUUUGAAGUGCUUAAUCAUUAUUUAUGGAGAUACAUUCCCUGAUUCAUUAUGGUGAAAGCCAUUUAUCAGUCUUCAAAACAGGGACCUUAUGCACUUGAGGGCUUCAUGUCAAUUAGAUCAAUGGGCUAACAUACAUAAUAUGAUGGUUUUAUUGUUGUCAUGAAUCAGGUUAAAGAGAGCUUGCUGGAUCCAGUUCUUUGUUCAUGUUCAGUCAAAGAAGAAAAUUUGUUCCUUAGGAUGUCAAGAAUUAAAGCCCCAUUACCAUCCUUCAGCUCUUGGUUGGUUCAAACUUUAAACGUAAGUCUCAAGUUUAAGCAUUGUAGUGUGAGUUAAGAUCCUCUAUUUCAAUGAAUGUUUCCAAUGAGGCAUACAGCUGCAUUGUAAUGACAUCCACCCUUGAGGGUUGGGUGGAUCUGACUGGAAAUUGAGAUUAUCAUCCUUAUUAUGUUUAAAGCAUGAUUGUAGCUAAUUCUUUUACCAUCAAGAAGACUUGUGCUUGAAAUUGUUUGAGUCCACUGGUGGAAUUCAACCAGUAGCAGAAGUGAAGAAAUCAUUUAUUUCAAUGGAAGAUGGUUUUACUCGACACCAAAGACAGGAGUGAGUGGCUCGAAGCAACUCGAGAGACCUGGAAGAAAAGCUUUUCACCUUGAAAACGACACUAGAGGACUGAGACAUGGAAGGAUAUUGUGAUGGUUUUAUAUAUGCUUGGUAACUAGUCAAUGUUUUAUUGUUAUACAGUGAAAUGUUCUCAUUAAACAAUUAAAUCUCAUGGACUUUGAGAAGUA